GAGCACUUCCAGCCAGCGGCGUGUGAGCGGGCCGCGCGGCGUGAGAGAGGCGGGCUCGCCCCCCUCGUGCGGCCGGAGCGGAGCCUUUUGUUCCCGGCCAGAAGUUUGCAUGCCGGGACCGUGACAGCUGCGGGCGGGGAGGACGGCUGCAGGGCCGGCGGCGUGGUGGAGAAAAGAGGCGACUGCUUGUCAUGCAGCCCACGACGCGGCGGCUGGGGGCCGGGGACCUGCAGUGGCCGGGGAGGCGGCGCCCACAGGACACGGGACUUACUGCUGCCGGAGGGACAAACUAACUUCCUGAGCGCUAGACCCAAGGCCGGCCCGCCGGGAGCCACCUGCAAGGUUGCGGUGAGGCGACCCUGGCCCUCCGGGGCGCGAGGCAUGGCGCGGGUUUGCGGGCGGUGCUAAGUGAGUCCAGACUGCCUCUUGGCCGCUGCCGCAGCCUGCCCGCCUUCUGAAAGGCCCAGCGUGGGCCUCCACUCGCCUUGUUUUGCGGCCACGAUACAGUGUUGGCUUGGAAGCCACAACAAUGCCAUGAUGUUUUGGAGACAGGAAGCCCCAAGCUGGCCCCGAAUGAAGGACUUCCUGUGUUUAAAGUUGCAGGAAUAUCCGCUGACCAGCCCUGUUCAAAUGCAAACACCCAACUAGAGAGGACGAAUGGCUAAUUCAGACCAGCUGGACUCUUUAGGGCUGAACACAGGAUAAAAUGAAAGGAAUUCUUAGGAGCUUGGACCAUACUUGAAGGCUAGAGAGGGUGUGCCAUUGUUAUAAAGGACAUAGUUGGUAUACAUUUUCUGCUUCCAACUCAGCUUUGGUGCGAAUCGAGUGAAACUAGAUAUUGAAUAAGACUUGUCAAUAUCAAACGAUUUUUUUGCUGACUGAAUUUGAAAGGGCUUUAGAAAAGUAAAACCAGAAGCCAUACAAGUAUUUGUUUUAUGUUUAUUGAUUAAAUAAUAUCAUUUGUCUUUCUGCAGUUAUGAGGCUGCUAGCCUGUGAGGGAAAACCUGUUUGUCUUAUUAGAGUUUCUCCCAAAAUGGUUUCAAAUUGGGAACUUCCAGAUCUUUCUGAAAGGCAGAUGCAAUUGGUGGUUUGGAGUAUAAACAUGUAAGAGGACUUACAAUUCAUGUAGAAUGUAUUUUGAGAGAACCCGUGGCGGGGAAAAAAAACUUUUGAAAGAUUGAUGGUUCAUCUUUAUUGAAAAAGUAUGGGUAAGCCACUUAGCAGGCCAGACUGUUUAAGGCGGAACCCUACCUGCCUGGGUAAAGGGGAAGAUGAGGAUGGCUAUAUAGAAGAUUGCUAUGUUCCACAGCGGUCUAUAUACGAUACAAUGAGGAUAAAUGAACAGAUUGACCAGGGGUCAAAACUUAAUCAGACGUCAAAAAGCACCAUGGAGAAGAUGGAAGGAAGUACCAUAUCCAGCAAUGGUACAUUAGGAGCAUCAUCUAAUGUUUUUGAAGCUAGAGGACCAGAAGGCAAGAAGCUGGAUGAGAGGAUAAUAUUUGAUGCAUUAAAGCUAAGCAGUGAUGUGCAGAAGUCAGCACCCGUGCCACCCAGACGUCGGCCAAAUGCAGAACGCAAAGAUAAUGUUAACAGGAGAUCGUGGAAGUCCUUCAUGCCACCCAACUUCCCAGAAUUUGCAGAAAGGAUGGAGGCUUCUCUCAGUGAAGUAUCAGAAGCUGGAGCUUCAAAUCCUUCCUUGCAAGAGAAAAAAGAAUCCAGUUCUGCAUUGACAGAAAGUUCUGGUCACUUUGACCACAGGGAACCUCAGUCUGAGUCCGUUACUUUGGAACACAUGUCCAAAUCUGUAGAUAUUCCAGAAGUGC
rnacentral:lncRNA from 1 species